AUCCUUAUUGACAAUGGUGGUCAUUGGAGGUAUAAAUACUGAGGAAUAUGUCAUUUACAGAGAAGAUGUUUGAAAUCUGUUUCCUUUAGACAGCAAAGCUUUGGUUGCAGUCCGAGUCUGAGGAAAAGUCAUCUUCUUCUUGAAGAAAGCGUCCAUAGUGGAAGCCGGUCAGGCCCUGAGUCCUCUCACCGUCAAUUCUGACGGCUGCGUUUGGCCUGCUCGGAAAAAACAAGAGUUGAGAAGACGCAAGAAUUGCCAGUUCUGGUGAAAUAAUAUACUGAAGUCCGCCUAUGAAAACGGGGGAAGGAGAAGGUAUUUUCAAUCGUAUGCUGUUCUGAAAUAAAAUGAAUGAACCAACUGAUACUGUAUUUCCCCAAGCACGUUAAACUGGAAGAAGAGGUGUUUUCACAACAAAACAGACAAAGAAUCAUAAAGACUUGA
rnacentral:lncRNA from 1 species